rnacentral:rRNA from 1 species
GGUUAAGCGACUAAGCGUACACGGUGGAUGCCCUGGCAGUCAGAGGCGAUGAAGGACGUGCUAAUCUGCGAUAAGCGUCGGUAAGGUGAUAUGAACCGUUAUAACCGGCGAUUUCCGAAUGGGGAAACCCAGUGUGAUUCGUCACACUAUCAUUAACUGAAUCCAUAGGUUAAUGAGGCGAACCGGGGGAACUGAAACAUCUAAGUACCCCGAGGAAAAGAAAUCAACCGAGAUUCCCCCAGUAGCGGCGAGCGAACGGGGAGCAGCCCAGAGCCUGAAUCAGUGUGUGUGUUAGUGGAAGCGUCUGGAAAGGCGCGCGAUACAGGGUGACAGUCCCGUACACAAAAAUGCACAUGCUGUGAGCUCGAUGAGUAGGGCGGGACACGUGGUAUCCUGUCUGAAUAUGGGGGGACCAUCCUCCAAGGCUAAAUACUCCUGACUGACCGAUAGUGAACCAGUACCGUGAGGGAAAGGCGAAAAGAACCCCGGCGAGGGGAGUGAAAAAGAACCUGAAACCGUGUACGUACAAGCAGUGGGAGCACGCUUAGGCGUGUGACUGCGUACCUUUUGUAUAAUGGGUCAGCGACUUAUAUUCUGUAGCAAGGUUAACCGAAUAGGGGAGCCGAAGGGAAACCGAGUCUUAACUGGGCGUUAAGUUGCAGGGUAUAGACCCGAAACCCGGUGAUCUAGCCAUGGGCAGGUUGAAGGUUGGGUAACACUAACUGGAGGACCGAACCGACUAAUGUUGAAAAAUUAGCGGAUGACUUGUGGCUGGGGGUGAAAGGCCAAUCAAACCGGGAGAUAGCUGGUUCUCCCCGAAAGCUAUUUAGGUAGCGCCUCGUGAAUUCAUCUCCGGGGGUAGAGCACUGUUUCGGCAAGGGGGUCAUCCCGACUUACCAACCCGAUGCAAACUGCGAAUACCGGAGAAUGUUAUCACGGGAGACACACGGCGGGUGCUAACGUCCGUCGUGAAGAGGGAAACAACCCAGACCGCCAGCUAAGGUCCCAAAGUCAUGGUUAAGUGGGAAACGAUGUGGGAAGGCCCAGACAGCCAGGAUGUUGGCUUAGAAGCAGCCAUCAUUUAAAGAAAGCGUAAUAGCUCACUGGUCGAGUCGGCCUGCGCGGAAGAUGUAACGGGGCUAAACCAUGCACCGAAGCUGCGGCAGCGACGCUUAUGCGUUGUUGGGUAGGGGAGCGUUCUGUAAGCCUGCGAAGGUGUGCUGUGAGGCAUGCUGGAGGUAUCAGAAGUGCGAAUGCUGACAUAAGUAACGAUAAAGCGGGUGAAAAGCCCGCUCGCCGGAAGACCAAGGGUUCCUGUCCAACGUUAAUCGGGGCAGGGUGAGUCGACCCCUAAGGCGAGGCCGAAAGGCGUAGUCGAUGGGAAACAGGUUAAUAUUCCUGUACUUGGUGUUACUGCGAAGGGGGGACGGAGAAGGCUAUGUUGGCCGGGCGACGGUUGUCCCGGUUUAAGCGUGUAGGCUGGUUUUCCAGGCAAAUCCGGAAAAUCAAGGCUGAGGCGUGAUGACGAGGCACUACGGUGCUGAAGCAACAAAUGCCCUGCUUCCAGGAAAAGCCUCUAAGCAUCAGGUAACAUCAAAUCGUACCCCAAACCGACACAGGUGGUCAGGUAGAGAAUACCAAGGCGCUUGAGAGAACUCGGGUGAAGGAACUAGGCAAAAUGGUGCCGUAACUUCGGGAGAAGGCACGCUGAUAUGUAGGUGAAGUCCCUCGCGGAUGGAGCUGAAAUCAGUCGAAGAUACCAGCUGGCUGCAACUGUUUAUUAAAAACACAGCACUGUGCAAACACGAAAGUGGACGUAUACGGUGUGACGCCUGCCCGGUGCCGGAAGGUUAAUUGAUGGGGUUAGCGCAAGCGAAGCUCUUGAUCGAAGCCCCGGUAAACGGCGGCCGUAACUAUAACGGUCCUAAGGUAGCGAAAUUCCUUGUCGGGUAAGUUCCGACCUGCACGAAUGGCGUAAUGAUGGCCAGGCUGUCUCCACCCGAGACUCAGUGAAAUUGAACUCGCUGUGAAGAUGCAGUGUACCCGCGGCAAGACGGAAAGACCCCGUGAACCUUUACUAUAGCUUGACACUGAACAUUGAGCCUUGAUGUGUAGGAUAGGUGGGAGGCUUUGAAGUGUGGACGCCAGUCUGCAUGGAGCCGACCUUGAAAUACCACCCUUUAAUGUUUGAUGUUCUAACGUGGACCCGUAAUCCGGGUUGCGGACAGUGUCUGGUGGGUAGUUUGACUGGGGCGGUCUCCUCCUAAAGAGUAACGGAGGAGCACGAAGGUUGGCUAAUCCUGGUCGGACAUCAGGAGGUUAGUGCAAUGGCAUAAGCCAGCUUGACUGCGAGCGUGACGGCGCGAGCAGGUGCGAAAGCAGGUCAUAGUGAUCCGGUGGUUCUGAAUGGAAGGGCCAUCGCUCAACGGAUAAAAGGUACUCCGGGGAUAACAGGCUGAUACCGCCCAAGAGUUCAUAUCGACGGCGGUGUUUGGCACCUCGAUGUCGGCUCAUCACAUCCUGGGGCUGAAGUAGGUCCCAAGGGUAUGGCUGUUCGCCAUUUAAAGUGGUACGCGAGCUGGGUUUAGAACGUCGUGAGACAGUUCGGUCCCUAUCUGCCGUGGGCGCUGGAGAACUGAGGGGGGCUGCUCCUAGUACGAGAGGACCGGAGUGGACGCAUCACUGGUGUUCGGGUUGUCAUGCCAAUGGCACUGCCCGGUAGCUAAAUGCGGAAGAGAUAAGUGCUGAAAGCAUCUAAGCACGAAACUUGCCCCGAGAUGAGUUCUCCCUGACUCCUUGAGAGUCCUGAAGGAACGUUGAAGACGACGACGUUGAUAGGCCGGGUGUGUAAGCGCAGCGAUGCGUUGAGCUAACCGGUACUAAUGAACCGUGAGGCUUAACCUU